ACUGGUGCGCGAGAUGAGUAUUCUAAGGCGCUUGAGAGAACUCAGGAGAAGGAACUCGGCAAAUUGAUACCGUAACUUCGGGAGAAGGUAUGCCCCAAUUAGGUGAACUUGAACAAAGGGAGCCGAACGGGGUUGCAAAAAAUCGGUGGCUGCGACUGUUUAAUAAAAACACAGCACUCUGCAAACACGAAAGUGGACGUAUAGGGUGUGACGCCUGCCCGGUGCUGGAAGAUUAAAUGAUGGGGUGCAAGCUCUUGAUUGAAGUCCCAGUAAACGGCGGCCGUAACUAUAACGGUCCUAAGGUAGCGAAAUUCCUUGUCGGGUAAGUUCCGACCUGCACGAAUGGCGUAACGAUGGCCACACUGUCUCCUCCCGAGACUCAGCGAAGUUGAAAUGUUUGUGAUGAUGCAAUCUCCCCGCGGAAAGACGGAAAGACCCCAUGAACCUUUACUGUAGCUUUGUAUUGGACUUUGAACAGAUCUGUGUAGGAUAGGUGGGAGGCUUUGAAGCUGGAACGCUAGUUUCAGUGGAGCCGACGUUGAAAUACCACCCUGGUGUGUUUGAGGUUCUAACCUAGGUCCAUUAUCUGGAUCGGGGACAGUGCAUGGUAGGCAGCUUGACUGGGGCGGUCUCCUCCCAAAGCGUAACGGAGGAGUUCGAAGGUACGCUAGUUACGGUCGGACAUCGUGAUAAUAGUGCAAUGGCAUAAGCGUGCUUAACUGCGAGACUGACAAGUCGAGCAGAUACGAAAGUAGGACAUAGUGAUCCGGUGGUUCUGUAUGGAAGGGCCAUCGCUCAACGGAUAAAAGGUACUCUGGGGAUAACAGGCUGAUACCGCCCAAGAGUUCAUAUCGACGGCGGUGUUUGGCACCUCGAUGUCGGCUCAUCUCAUCCUGGGGCUGUAGCCGGUCCCAAGGGUAUGGCUGUUCGCCAUUUAAAGAGGUACGUGAGCUGGGUUUAAAACGUCGUGAGACAGUUUGGUCCCUAUCUUCCGUGGGCGCUGCAGAUUUGAGGAAGCCUGCUCCUAGUACGAGAGGACCGGAGUGGACACACCUCUGGUGUAUCGGUUGUCACGCCAGUGGCAUUGCCGAGUAGCUAAGUGUGGAAGAGAUAACCGCUGAAAGCAUCUAAGCGGGAAACUCGUUUCAAGAUGAGAUCUGCCGGGGCCUUGAGCCCCCUAAAGAGUCGUUCAAGACCAGGACGUUGAUAGGUCAGGUGUGGAAGCGCAGUAAUGCGUUAUGCUAACUGAUACUAAUUGCUCGUGCGGCUUGACCCU
rnacentral:rRNA from 1 species